rnacentral:misc_RNA from 1 species
AAGUCGUAACAAGGUUUCCGUAGGUGAACCUCCGGAAGGAUCAUUAACACGUAGUUGCUUUUCAACCCCUGUGAACUUGUCUGGAAGGUGUGCGAGCUUUGAUGGCUUAAAUCAGCCGCCGUAUGUUGACUAGGCUGUUGCCAAAGUGCAUGCGCGGUCUGCGUGACUUCGCUACACAAGGCAUCUCCACACUGUAGUACGGCCCCCUUUUUUGUCGUUUACUAAAUGAACUAAAUGUUACGGAUGAAACCAAGGGACUGCGGUUCUUUGGCAUCGUCUGAUUAGCAAACUGUUACAACGGAUAUCUUGGCUCUC